UCUGGGGACCUGAAUCAUGACUUCUGAAUGCCUGGAUUAGCAAUUCUGUAUUUAGCAGUGACCAAAAUAUUCAAAAAUAGCUUCUCACUAUUUGUGCAGUCUAUAUUUAUGCUUGGUAAAAGCCAUCUAAGCUGCUAAUAAAAGAAACACAGACCCUGGCAGUUAGCAGGGCAUGUCCACAAAAACCAAUAUGCAACAUUGCCACUUGGAUCUGAAGUUCUCUUCUGUUGCCUCUCAGCAGCAGCAGAGACUGACAGGAGCUACUCUGAGACACUCCUCCUCAUCUUCUAGCACUUAUCCUUUAAGUGUGAUGCAUAAAGCAACAGUAUUCAAACUGAUUGUGCUUCCAAAAGGGCAGGAUCACCAGGCAAAAACUUGAUUUCUUUUUGAAGCUGAAAAAACCUGUGAUCUCAGAAGCCAUGUAUUUGGGAAACUGUAGAAGGUGCUCCUGAUUGAGAACAGAGCAGAAAAGGCUUAACCAAUUACCUGCCUUUUCUGCUCUUUUUUGCCCAGGUCUGAUUUAUUUGUGAUUUUAUCCAGUCACAUAUGUCUUAUCUUUUAGACAGUUCAUCCUUUGGGACAGAAACUACCAUUUCCUUUUUUAUACAUAAAAUAAUGCUGGAUAAUCUGACUGAAGUUUUACACUUGCUAUACUGUAACUGCUAAAUGAAUAACAAUUUUGGCCAAUUUCUAGUCUCAGCUAGCUCCUUUUGGGCUACUGUAGCCCAAAGCUAUAAUAAGCAAAUAAAGCAAUUUAGUCAGGCUUCUAUCUGGAAGAAAUCCUCAUUCCAGAAUACAGAGUUUUAAAGCUGACAUCUGGAGUGAUACAGCCUCUACACUAUAGAAACUCCUUACAACUCCUCCAGCACAAAUCCCAAAUAUGUGUUCUUUAAUGUCCAGGAUCAGAACCUGUCCAACACUUCCUCAGAGUAGCAGCCAGCCUCCCUCACCUGAGUGUGGCUUGUGCAGUGCCAGCACUCCCAGCUGCACCCCCGCAGGGCACCAGCUGUUCCCUGAGUGCUAGCCCAGGAGAGCAGACAGACCACAGGUAUACACAGGAAGAACAUGGAAACAUCCCAGAUUUUUAUCUCUCUACUGUCCUCCAGUAAUCAGCUGCCGUUAUUCUGGUUUAUGUGGGAGAAAUGAUCUUAGAAUCACUUCAUAAUACACCAUUAAUGUAUCAGUGAGAGGUUGAGACUGAUAUCCUGUUAGUGUUAGAAACCACAAUUAUGUGUAAAAUGAAAAAUUAUGCACAGCAAACUAUGCAAUGGCUAUGCAAUGUGACCUGCCAGAGAAGUCCUUCUGCAUCAGUUCCUCCAAAGAUCUCCUGUGACCUGAGAAGCUGUACUUCCUUCCCUCUUUCUCCUUUCUCUGAGUCAGCCAGCUGUGCCAUCAACAAGACACUGAAAAGCAAAAAGACCUGAGCCCUGCAAGAAAUAAAAGGGGAUUUCUGUCGUUCUCUGGGUUCUGUCUCUGUAGAAUUGAAAUCCUGCCCUUCAGUCAACAUUCACACCAGCUGCCUGGGUAAGCACAUGUGAUGGGCCACCCUUUCAAGACAA